GAGACUCUUCGGUACUUGACUUUAUUGUGCAUUGCCUUCGCUACGAUGACAUUGUCCACAAGGAAGACUCGGUGGGAUACAGGGUGUUUUUGACAACCGGGUUCUUUUGUCAGGCAAUGUCCGUUCAGAGCAUCUACAUGGACGAUGGAGUAACCGAGACCGACGAUUUCAAGACGUUGUGGUAGUGCCUGGAAUCAGAAAUUGAGCAUUAUGAGGACAUAUUGAAGGCAAAGCUGGUUAGUUUACUUUUGCAUUUGUUUAACUAUCCACUUGCAACUGCUGUAUUCAUGCCUGCAUGCUCAGGGAAACACUACUUUGUGUACUGCAUCAAUCUCAUACACAAUCGUAUUGAUAUUCUGGACUCAAUUGACUACGUUUGGGGCAACACCUCUCUUAAAACUAGCCACCGUCCGGUCUACAACAAGAUAUCAAUCAUAAGUGCUGCAUUCUAGAGGGUCACCAAUAACAAAUUCCCUUGUUUUGAGCGCUGGAGCAGGCCGAUGAUCGAUCUGCCCAAGCAAGCUGGCCCCUGCGAUUGCAUGUUCUUCCUUUGGAAAUACAUGGAAUAUUGGGACAGCGAGCGCCUCAACAUUGAUAUCAAUCCGGUG